rnacentral:lncRNA from 1 species
GCAAUUAUGAAUAUCUCAAGAUAUAUGGCCCUGCAAUGUUAUGCGGUUCGUGUCAAUGCCCAGAGAAUAUAUAGGGAACAAUAAUCACCAAUCGAUCAACAAUGCAUAGUGUUAUGGAUUGAACAACCCAUGUCACGUGUACAGUUGCAUGAGCUAUCUUCUAUAUAUUUCCGGCGCUACAUAUAACUUCGAUGUUCAUUUGUGUUAUUCACAUGGGAUGUCUAUUUUCCAGGCUUACAUCUCAGCCAGUUCUCAAAGUUGUGUAGAAUGAAUGAUGUCUCACCCAAUUUCUCCAUUAUCAACUUGUUUUCUUCAAAAGUAGCAAAGCUUUCUAUCUACUUCAAGAAGCACUCCCCCAGUUAAUUACACUUAUUCUGCACAUGUGUAAAAUAAUUAGCAAUCCAUAAGAAGCAUGCACACAAGCAUUAUAGAUAGAAGAAUAAAAAACUAUUAAAAAGGAUUCGGUGGCUGAAAAAAAAAUGAAAAACAUACUGAUUUAAUCAUUUAAGCUCACAGCCAAAGUUCAGACAAGAUAAAAAAAUGGAGCUAUCUCAGAAUCAUUCUAAAGCUUGCUGUCUCCUAUUCACAUGCUUUAAAAUAGAUUUGAGUUUAAUAAUUGCGCGUAGUCUUUUAUGAGAGUCGAUGGUUUUCCAUAUCCAACUUGUUAUGAGAAAUGUGAGAAAAUAAAGUUCUGUUGAGCUGUAUUUUAUAGUCAACAGUACUGCAGAACCAAAUGUUCGAAGCAAAUGCACAGAAACUUUGGUGUUUUUCCCUUACAAAGCAAGUUACUGAAAAUUUAUAAACACAUUUUCAAAUAUGUGACGAUACGCUUUGACUUUUUAGAUGGCUUGCUAGCAGACAAGAGCGAAAAUACAGCUUCGUCCGAGCUAUUUGAUGAACGCACAAGCACCUCUUCUUUAUGAAACUCAACAGAUCCAACUGAUCCUGUGUGCCCUAAUUAGGAUAUUUCUCUCAAUUAAUUUAAGGCUGUUACCAGAAUUUUUAUUUCAAAUGCUUCCUUGAACUACAACAGUUCGGAUAUCUCUCAAAUGCAGCUGAUGUAGAUAGCCCUAAUUGAAGAAACAGUAUAUUUCUUUCGAAGUUGCAACUCAAUUUUUUCUUGCUUUUUUACGUACCUUCGUACAUCUAAUUUUAGGUUUCUACUAUACCAUAGAUACUUGUAAUCCAAACAUCCUUUUUAAGACGUACAUGCAAUUGGAGACCACUGAAGUGACCAGCCACUGCCAGGUUGUGGUCUCUGCUUCUUCUAAUAAGUAACCGGGUUUCUUCAGAACCGACGGAUCAAAUUCUACACUCAUUCCAAAAUACUGGCAUGGUUAUAUUAUGCAUAAAAAUUCAGAAUAAACUGAAAGGUUGAUUUCAAAUACUACAGAGUGAGGAUGGUUAUUAUAAAAAUUUCAGAACAUGAACCAGUUGCUAAUCCACGGCUGAAAUCCAACCAGCAGAGUGAGGGUUCACCCUGGAGCAAAGCAGCUGUGCAUCAUUAGUUACCAUGGUUAGGCCCUGCAAGUCAAAUACGAAAAUGAAUCAAUCAAUUAAGCUGAAAGUAGCGUAAAAGAUUCUACCUUGUAUCUGAACUCUGAAGGAAGCAGUAUGAUUAAAGAGGAUCACACCAUCCAUUAUGCACUUCAUGAACAGCAUAGAUAUCCUUAUUCAUUCAAACCCCCUGAUCUGAUAAAUGAAUCGAUGGAGUCAACAUGGAUAGCAGUUUUCAUUUCAUUUUUUAAACAACGAGUCCCCCUUCAGCCUGAAACAAUGAACAGUCACAAAUGUAUCAACUUUGAUUUAAGAAAAAAAUCAUAGAAGUAAUUUAGUUUGUUAUGAUAGACCAUCCUCUAUAAAAUUGCAACUAUCAGUCUCACAAAUAGAGAACUGAUUAAUGAUUAGGUCAUGCCAUAGACUAUUCAAUUUUAGUUCUGGGAAGUUCAGUUUUCUAAACAUAGCUCAAUCAGCUAUAUAAUCACACAAUACUCCAAGCAAAAGAGCACAUGCAAAAAUAGUCCUUUAUCGUCUCUUGUUGACUGAAAAAGCUUUAUUGUCUUUCCCAUUUUUUGAAUGGAGUGGCCUGACUAUUUCUUAUGACACCAUAAUGACCAGAACCCGAAGAAAACAUUGCCAGGUUAAAACUGAACCAUGUAUUCCGUAGGCUAGUAGCAACCCAUACAGCAGCUGAAUUUUUCAGAAAUGAGAGUGUUUCAUUUCACCAUAGUUUCAGAAUUAUAUUUUCAGAAAUGUUUAGACAAAAUAAUAAUCUGUCCCCUGUCUCCAUGAGCAAUCAAAUUUCGAAGCUGGCACCAUAAGUUAGCAUCGCUCCAGAUUCUAUUUGAACUGACAUACAACUUAAACGAGAAUAGUGUACCAAAUAUACAGGAACAACUGAAAACAUAUAUAGGGUGAAUAAUGUGAGGAUAUCUAAAAAAUGUGGAAUUUUCAGGAGUGGAGCUUAUGACCUCUUCUGCAUUAAGUGGAUGUUUUAACAGCUUGCUUCUCAACGCUAAACUGAUCUACCAAGCUGAACUGCAGAGAACAGGCAAACCAUCAUAAGAUGAAAGAACCGGAUUCGGCGGUGACUCUUGGAGGAGCCAUGGGCGAUGGUCAAUGGCGAGCGGCAGGAAGCCCAACGGGAGAUCGAGGCAUGGGGAAUCGACGAUGCAGGAUGACGAUUUGCGCUAUGAGGGGCCGGCGACGAGCGGAGACAGGACAAUCGGCAACAAUACCUGAGGAUGAGGGUGAGAAGGGAGGGGAUCGACGACGGGGAGGCUCGUGCGACGGCGAGUGGGCGGGUGACGGGAUGGAUGUGGGCGUGAGGAGGGUGUGCGAAUGAAAAGGGGGAGGAGAUUGGGGCGGUUUCCGGCGUCAGCGGCGGAGACGGCGGAGGGAGGCGUGGGAGGGAGGUGCGGUUUCUGGGAGGGUUGUGGGAGGAGGAGGUGCAUGGGGAGGGGGCGUGGGAGGGGC